rnacentral:rRNA from 1 species
GAUGAACGCUGGCGGCGUGCCUAAUACAUGCAAGUCGAGCGAACAGAUGAGGAGCUUGCUCCUCUGACGUUAGCGGCGGACGGGUGAGUAACACGUGGAUAACCUACCUAUAAGACUGGGAUAACUUCGGGAAACCGGAGCUAAUACCGGAUAAUAUAUUGAACCGCAUGGUUCAAUAGUGAAAGACGGUUUUGCUGUCACUUAUAGAUGGAUCCGCGCCGCAUUAGCUAGUUGGUAAGGUAACGGCUUACCAAGGCAACGAUGCGUAGCCGACCUGAGAGGGUGGUCGGCCACACUGGAACUGAGACACGGUCAAGACUCCUACGGGAGGCAGCAGUAGGGAAUCUUACGCAAUGGGCGAAAGCCUGACGGAGCAACGCCGCGUGAGUGAUGAAGGUCUUCGGAUCGUAAAACUCUGUUAUUAGGGAAGAACAAAUGUGUAAGUAACUAUGCACGUCUUGACGGUACCUAAUCAGAAAGCCACGGCUAACUACGUG